rnacentral:misc_RNA from 2 species
AACGCAUCUUGCGCCCUUUGGUAUUCCGAAGGGCAUGCCUGUUUGAGUGUCGCGCACCUCUCAACCCCCGCUCCGUGUUCGGAGCGCGCGGGCUUGGACCGUGGCCGUCUCGGUCGCCCUCGGUGGCGGCCCGGCCGAAAUGCACACCUCAGCGAGAUCGCAGCCUUCUGCCGCGGCUUGACCGGACGUUGUAGAGUCACACCACGUUCGGGACGCGCAGAUGGCUCGGCUUGCGCCGGACGCACACUUACACCCUUUCGACCUCAGAUCAGGCAGGACUACCCGCUGAACUUAA